CAAAUCUGACGCUGAGGCGCGAAGGCGUGGGGUGCAAACAGGAUUAGAUACCCUGGUAGUCCACGCUGUAAACGAUGAAUGUUAAAUAUGGGAAGUUUUACUUUCUGUAUUACAGCUAACGCGUUAAACAUUCCGCCUGGGGACUACGGUCGCAAGAUUAAAACUCAAAGGAAUUGACGGGGACCCGCACAAGCGGUGGAGCAUGUGGUUUAAUUCGAUGCAACGCGAAAAACCUUACCACUCCUUGACAUGGAAAUUAUACCUAUUCGAAGGGAUAGGGUCGGUUCGUCCGGGUUUCACACAGGUGUUGCAUGGCUGUCGUCAGCUCGUGUCGUGAGAUGUUGGGUUAAGUCCCGCAACGAGCGCAACCCUCAUCCUUAGUUACCAUCAGGUAAUGCUGGGGACUUUAAGGAAACUGCCAGUGAUAAACUGGAGGAAGGUGGGGAUGAUGUCAAGUCAUCAUGGCCCUUAUGGAGUGGGCUACACACGUGCUACAAUGGUGGCUACAAUGGGCUGCAAAGUCGCGAGGCUAAGCUAAUCCCUUAAAAGCCAUCUCAGUUCGGAUUGUACUCUGCAACUCGAGUGCAUGAAGUUGGAAUCGCUAGUAAUCGUGGAUCAGCACGCCACGGUGAAUACGUCCUCGGGUCUUGUACACACUGCCCGUCACGCCAUGGGAAUUGGUUUCACUCGAAGCUAACGACCUAACCGCAAGGAGGGAGUUAUUUAAAGUGGGAUCGGUGACUGGGGUGAAGUCGUAACAAGGUAGCAGUAGGGGAAUCUGCGGCUGGAUCA
rnacentral:rRNA from 1 species